AACAGAAUUUCUCCAAAAUGAAAACUAAAGCCACAAUGGACAACCCCUUGGCAAUUAACGUAAUUGAUUUUAUUAUAUUAACCUCAACUAGAAAAAUUUACAAAAUUUUAACGUUAACCUAACACAAGCUCAUUCCCGGAAAGAUUUAAAGAAAAGGAAGGAACUCGGCAACACAUGACCCCGCCUGUUUACCAAAAACAUCGCCUCUUGACAAACAUAAGAGGUCCCGCCUGCCCACUGACAGGAUUUAACGGCCGCGGUACUCUGACCGUGCAAAGGUAGCACAAUCACUUGUUCUCUAAAUAGGGACUAGAAUCAACGGCAUCACGAGGGUCUUACUGUCUCCCUUUUCUAAUCAGUGAAACUGAUCUUCCCGUGAAGAAGCGGGAAUAACUUUAUAAGACGAGAAGACCCCAUGGAGCUUCAAACUCAAUAGUUACCCCAUGCAAACUACACGAUAACUUAGGGAAAUAACUAUUAAUUUUAGGUUGGGGUGACCACGGAGAAUAGCCUAACCUCCGCAAUGAAAAGAAUAAUAUCCUUAUCUAUGAGACACAUCUCUAAGAAUUAACAAAUUAACAUAAAAUGAUCCGAUCUAUUUACCGUUCGAUCAAUGAACCAAGUUACCCUGGGGAUAACAGCGCCAUCCACUUUGAGAGUUCAUAUCGACAAGUGGGUUUACGACCUCGAUGUUGGAUCAGGGUAUCCCGGUGGUGCAGCC
rnacentral:rRNA from 1 species